rnacentral:rRNA from 1 species
GAUGAACGCUGGCGGCGUGCCUAAUACAUGCAAGUCGAGCGAAUGGAUUAAGAGCUUGCUCUUAUGAAGUUAGCGGCGGACGGGUGAGUAACACGUGGGUAACCUGCCCAUAAGACUGGGAUAACUCCGGGAAACCGGGGCUAAUACCGGAUAACAUUUUGAACCGCAUGGUUCGAAAUUGAAAGGCGGCUUCGGCUGUCACUUAUGGAUGACCCGCGUCGCAUUAGCUAGUUGGUGAGGUAACGGCUCACCAAGGCAACGAUGCGUAGCCGACCGGAGAGGGUGAUCGGCCACACUGGGACUGAGACACGGCCCAGACUCCUACGGGAGGCAGCAGUAGGGAAUCUUCCGAAAUGGACGAAAGUCUGACGGGGCAACGCCGCGUGAGUGAGGAAGGCUUUCGGGUCGUAAAACUCUGUUGUUAGGGAAGAACAAGUGCUAGUUGAAUAAGCUGGCACCUUGACGGUACCUAACCAGAAAGCCACGGCUAACUACGUGCCAGCCGCCGCGGUAA